rnacentral:rRNA from 1 species
CAAGCGUUGUUCGGAAUUACUGGGCGUAAAGCGCACGUAGGCGGUGGAGUAAGUCAGAGGUGAAAUCCCAGGGCUCAACCCUGGAACUGCCUUUGAAACUGCUACACUAGAAUCAUGGAGAGGUCAGUGGAAUUCCGAGUGUAGAGGUGAAAUUCGUAGAUAUUCGGAAGAACACCAGUGGCGAAGGCGACUGACUGGACAUGUAUUGACGCUGAGGUGCGAAAGCGUGGGGAGCAAACAGG